rnacentral:rRNA from 1 species
CAAUAGCGUAUAUUAAAGUUGUUGCAGUUAAAAAGCUCGUAGUUGGACUUGUGUGCGCCCCCGAUGUCCUAUUUGGUACGUUUGGGGGUGCGCAUCCUUGGGUGGAACCUGUGUGGCAUUAGGUUGUCGGGCAGGGGAUGCUCAUCGUUUACUGUGAAAAAAUUAGAGUGUUCAAAGCAGGCUUACGCCGUUGAAUAUAUUAGCAUGGAAUAAUAGGAUAGGACCUUGGUACUAUUUUGUUGGUUUGCGCACCGAGGUAAUGAUUAACAGGGACAGUUGGGGGUAUUCGUAUUCCAUUGUCAGAGGUGAAAUUCUUGGAUUUUUGGAAGACGAACUACUGCGAAAGCAUUUACCAAGGAUGUUUUCAUUAA